rnacentral:rRNA from 1 species
GACGAACGCUGGCGGCGUGCUUAACACAUGCAAGUCGAACGAUGAAGCCGGAGCUUGCUCUGGUGAAUUAGUGGCGAACGGGUGAGUAACACGUGAGUAACCUGCCCUUGACUCUGGGAUAACUGCGGGAAACUGUAGCUAAUACCGGAUACGACCCUCGGAGGCAUCUCCUGGGGGUGGAAAGAAUUUCGGUCAAGGAUGGACUCGCGGCCUAUCAGCUAGUUGGUGAGGUAACGGCUCACCAAGGCGACGGCGGGUAGCCGGCCUGAGAGGGGGAGCGGCCACACUGGGGCUGAGAGACGGCCCAGACGCCUACGGGAGGCAGCAGUGGGGAAUACUGCACAAUGGGAGCAAGCCUGAUGCAGCAACGCCGCGUGAGGGAUGACGGCCUUCGGGUUGUAAACCUCUUUUAGCAGGGAAGAAGCGAAAGUGACGGUACCUGCAGAAAAAGCACCGGCUAACUACGUGCCAGCCGCCGCAGUAA